UUUUAUUUAGAUUAUUACUUCAAAGUACUUAUUUAUUUUUAAAGAUAUUUUUCUUUCAAAUUCAGGUGCACGGCGAGAUCAAUGCUAUGGAUGGUGUAUAACAUGAGGAAUGGUGAUUUGAAAUAGGCAGUUGUGGUUCUGCUGAGGAUUGUUGGUCCUGAGAUGCAGCUUUGCACUUCAUUGAAAAAAAUAAUAUGUACACAAUGAAUCUAAUCUCAGCUUAGAACCACGAGAAGCUUGACAAAUGUGCAAGUUACAAAGAGGCCUAACUGGAAGGAGCGUCAGAAUUCAUAACUGACAAUCGUGGGCUUGAGGUCUAUGUUUAUGGAUUGAAUUGUGGGAUUUUUUUCGUUUAUUUCAAUUGAGCCUGUGGCAUUGAAAAGCAUUUUGAGCCCUAUGGUAAGGUAUCGCAUGUUAUAAUUCUUAGGGUGUCUCUGUUGAAUGUGACCUCAGUAUGAAAGCUAGCAAGGUGGUAGGGAUGACAUUCUUAAAAGAGGAAGGGAAUAUAGUUGAUCUAGAAGUAGAAGUCCAGUGCAUCGAAGAAGUAGACCGAGUACGGAUAAUGGAGUGGAAAACAGUCAAGUUUAUGACAGAUAAGGGACCAUCGAGCAACAAGGAUUGAAGCCCUGACCAUGAGUGAUAUACUGCUCGAUCACCAGUGGUUGUUCACCAAUUCGUCGCUCACCUGUUCGUCGUGCCCGUUUCCCUGCUAGUAGUUCAAACGUUCAUCGAUCCCCAGCUGGAUGCCCAUCCGUUUUCUGUUCAGCUUAUACUCGCUCAUUUAUUCCCCAUUCUCCAGAUGACCGUUCAUCUGUUGGCCGUUCUCCAAAUUCCUUUUACCAUUUCGUCGUGCUCUUGAUGGCUGCUCACCUGUUUGGACAUGGUGUUUACGUCUUGAAGUAAAUUAUUGAAAUUGGUGUUUUUUUUAAUGGCUGAAACUUAAUACGACAGAAAGACUUGAUUCUGCCAUGCAGUUGUGAAUCCUAAAUAUUGGGGUCCUUUUUAAUAACAUUGAUGAUACUUUCCCUAUACACUUUUUUGUUUAUAAUAUUCUACUAGGUUUAUGGCUCAUGGAAUGUACGAUGCGCAACAGUUUAAUUAAUUGUAUACAGUCUCAUGGAACAAUAUAGAGUUGGUACAAACUUUUUGGUGUAUAAAAUUCAAUGAACAAUACAAUCUUAUAAAAUUUAAUCGGUA